rnacentral:rRNA from 1 species
AUUGAACGCUGGCGGCAGGCCUAACACAUGCAAGUCGAGCGGAGCGGCGGACGGGUGAGUAAUGCCUAGGAAUCUGCCUGGUAGUGGGGGAUAACGUCCGGAAACGGGCGCUAAUACCGCAUACUAUCAGAUGAGCCUAGGUCGGAUUAGCUAGUUGGUGGGGUAAAGGCCUACCAAGGCGACGAUCCGUAACUGGUCUGAGGGGAUGAUCAGUCAACCUGGAACUGAGACACGGCCCAGACUCCUCCUGGAGGCAGCAGUGGGGAAUAUUGUACAAUGGGCGAAAGCCUGACGGAGCAACUCCGCGUGAGUGAUGACGGCCUUCGGGUUGUAAAGCUCUGUUAAUCGGGACGCGGUACCGUAAUAGAAAGCCAUGGCUAACUACGUGCCAGCAGCCGCGGUAAUUC